rnacentral:rRNA from 1 species
CCUACGGGGGGCAGCAGUGAGGAAUAUUGGUCAAUGGGCUUACGCCUGAACCAGCCAAGUCGCGUGAGGGAAGACUGCCCUAUGGGUUGUAAACCUCUUUUGUCAGGGAGCAACGCCGGCUACGUGUAGCCGGACUGAGAGUACCUGAAGAAAAAGCAUCGGCUAACUCCGUGCCAGCAGCCGCGGUAAUACGGGGGAUGCGAGCGUUACCCGGAUUUUUUGGGUUUAAAGGGUGCGUAGGCGGAAUGCAAAGUCACCGGUAAAAUCGCGGGGCUCAACCUCGCUCCGCCGUUGAAACUGGCGUUCUUGAGGGGGCGAGAAGUAUGCGGAAGGCGUGGUGUAGCGGGGAAAUGCAUAGAUAUCACGCAGAACUCCGAUUGCGAAGGCAGCAUACCGGCGCCCAACUGACGCUGAAGCACGAAAGCGUGGGUAUCGAACAGGAUUAGAUACCCUGGUAGUC